rnacentral:rRNA from 1 species
CCUACGGGAGGCAGCAGUGAGGAAUAUUCGUCAAUGGCCGGAAGGCUGACCCAGCCACGCCGCGUGAAGGUCAGUGCCCUAUGGGCGUUAAACUUCUUUUGUGCGGGAGCAAUAAUGGUAACGUGUGGCCAGACGAGAGUACCGUACGAAUAUGCAUCGGCUAACACAGUGCCAGCAGCCGCGGUACUACGGGGGAUGCAAGCGUUAUCCGGUUUUAUUGGGUUUAAAGGGUGCGUAGGCUGUGGGGUAAGUUAGCGGUGAAAUGCCCCCGCUCAACGGGGUGAAGUGCCAUUGAUACUGCCUUGCUGGAAGGCGGAUGCCGUGGGAGGAA